ACCCCUGUGACAUACCACUUGUUGCCUCGGCGGAUCAGCCCGCUCCCGGUAAAACGGGACGGCCCGCCAGAGGACCCCUAAACUCUGUUUCUAUAUGUAACUUCUGAGUAAAACCAUAAAUAAAUCAAAACUUUCAACAACGGAUCUCUUGGUUCUGGCAUCGAUGAAGAACGCAGCAAAAUGCGAUAAGUAAUGUGAAUUGCAGAAUUCAGUGAAUCAUCGAAUCUUUGAACGCACAUUGCGCCCGCCAGUAUUCUGGCGGGCAUGCCUGUUCGAGCGUCAUUUCAACCCUCAAGCACAGCUUGGUGUUGGGACUCGCGUUAAUUCGCGUUCCUCAAAUUGAUUGGCGGUCACGUCGAGCUUCCAUAGCGUAGUAGUAAAACCCUCGUUACUGGUAAUCGUCGCGGCCACGCCGUUAAACCCCAACUUCUGAAUGUUGACCUCGGAUCAGGUAGGAAUACCCGCUGAACUUAAGCAUAUCAAU
rnacentral:rRNA from 1 species